rnacentral:rRNA from 1 species
UACGGGGGGAGCAAGCGUUGUUCGGAUUUACUGGGCGUAAAGGGCGCGUAGGCGGUCAGCACAAGUCAGUUGUGAAAUCUCCGGGCUUAACUCGGAAAGGUCAACUGAUACUGUGCGACUAGAGUGCAGAAGGGGCAACUGGAAUUCUCGGUGUAGCGGUGAAAUGCGUAGAUAUCAAGUGGAACACCAGUGGCGAAGGCGAGUCCCUGGACAAGACCUGACACUGAGGCACGAAAGCCAGGGGAGCAAACAGG